GUGAGAUAUGGUAACCUUGAUUGAGAGGCAAAGUGAAAACCCCAUGUCCUUGACCAUGUGUUUGACAUGGAGCUUCCAUCGAGCUAAGCUCUGAGGUGGGGAGGAACUAGGUCAUGAUUCAAAUGAUAAAAACUCUUGUUCUCACCAAGUUAAAAUAAACUUUCUUGAAUAGACAUGUCUUCAUUGGUUUUUAGGACAAUUUACAGAGAAUCUAUAGGCUUUUCUUCUUCGCAGCCAGCUUUGCUUGUGGGGGUCUUCACAUAAUCAUCCUGUGGAUGACGUCAGUGGAACUGAGUCUUCAUAAACUUCACGAAAUUUUGACUUUAUUGUUGUUAUUGCCUGGUUUUGCUUAAUUUUACAAUGAGCAAUAUAAUGCAGAUUCAGACAGCUUUUAAAUUUAAAUAUAUCCAAGCCAAAGAACAUGUUGCUAGAAAUAUCCAAUAAAAAGUAAGUCUGGUUAUGUAAAGUAAUAACAUUUCAAACCUUAAUUUAAGGUAUGUGAUCUCACUGAACACCAAAAACAUACUUCAUAAAUAUAUCUCCUAGUUUUGGGAUGUCUUAGACCUAAGCAAGUUCGGAGAAAAAUUUCACAGAUAAAGUUACUUGGAAUAUCAUAUGGUAGGAAAAAGAGACUUGAUCAAAUAAUAAGGUAUAAGUUUAAGUUUCAAUACAAUCUUACCAGACUUGUAUUACUAAGUUGAAGCAUAAAGUUUUGUGAAUGAUAGUAUACAUAAAUUCAAACUUACAAGAGCCAUCUUUGAUUCAUUAGAAAUGUCUUGUUUUCCAUCAGACUUCCUGACUCAAAUAUUUACUAGAAAUUAACAAUAAAUGGUCUGGAACUCAAUUUAUACAUGUCAAAACAAAGAGAAUGGGUUCUAAAGGUCAGUUGUUAAAUGUUCAAACUGUAAUCUAUUAGCCAAAGGAAUGUCUAAUACUAGAUUUAGGUGAGUUUUUUUUUUUUUUCUGAAUUCUAUUUUUGUGUCCUCCAGUUCUUUCUAUGGAUAUACACAUCACAUGAAAACAUUAAUUUCAGCAAGAGUUACAGACUCUGCUGAAUAUUUGAAAUAAUGAAGCUAUUACCAUGCUCCAGCAUUUUUGUGGGAAACCAGAAGAGAAUGAAGGAGUGGAUCAAAGCAUUUAUACAUUGAAUCCAAAACACCUAAAAGAAAACAAAGCAAGAAAGUCAAGAUGGUAACCCUCAUCGUUAUACAAAAUUACAUAUAAGAGGAGGUGAAGGGAAAGGGGGAAAAAAAAACAAGGGAGAGAAAUGAAGUACAGAAGAUGGG
rnacentral:lncRNA from 1 species